rnacentral:rRNA from 1 species
GGCUUAUUGAUUUUAAUUUUAAGUCUAUCUGCCCAAUGAUUUAAUUAUUUAAUGGCUGCAGUAUAAUUGACUGUACAAAGGUAGCAUAAUCAAUUGUUUUUUAAUUGAAAACUGGAAUGAAAGAAUUAAUGAGAUAUAUACUGUCUCAUAUAUAUUUAAUUAAUUUAAAUUUUUAGUAAAAACGCUAAAAUAUAUUUAUGGGACGAUAAGACCCUAUAGAAUUUUAUAUUUAUAUUUAGAUUAAAAAUUAUUUUAAAUAUAAAUAUUUAUUGGGAGGAUUAGUAAAUUUAUCAAACUUUAUUUUAAAUAUAAACUUUGAUUUAAGAAUAAUUAUUGAUCUUGUAUUAUAAAUUAAAAGAAUAAAUUACCUUAGGGAUAACAGCGUAAUAUCUUUUUAAAGGUCAUAUUAAUAAAGAUGAUUGCGACCUCGAUGUUGAAUUAAGAUAAAUUUUAAAUGCAGAAGUUUAAUAAUUAAGUCUGUUCGACUUUUAAAAUCUUACAUGAUUUGAGUUCAAAUCGACGUGAGU